rnacentral:rRNA from 1 species
UACGGAGGGCGCAAGCGUUUUUCGGAAUCACUGGGCGUAAAGCGCGUGUAGGCGGCUUGGCAAGUCGGGUGUGAAAUCCCGAGGCUCAACCUCGGAACUUCACUCGAAACUGCCUCGCUCGAGUCCCGGAGAGGGUGGCGGAAUUCCCGGUGUAGGGGUGAAAUCCGUAGAUAUCGGGAGGAACACCAGUGGCGAAGGCGGCCACCUGGACGGUGACUGACGCUGAGACGCGAAAGCGUGGGGAGCAAACAGG